rnacentral:rRNA from 1 species
GACGAACGCUGGCGGCGUGCUUAACACAUGCAAGUCGAACGGUGAAACGCCUUCCUUUUUUGCGGCUGUGGAUGAGUGGCGCACGGGUGAGUAACACGUGAGUAACCUGCCCCCUUCUUCUGGAUAACCGCAUGAAAGUGUGGCUAAUACGUUAACUUCGGGGGCUCUCGCAUGGUGGGUCUGGGAAAUCUUUUGAUUCGUUGCGGGUUGGGCUCGUCGCCUAUCAGGUUGUCGGCGGGGUGAUGGCCUACCAACGCGGUGACGGCUAGCCGGCCUGUGAGGGUGGACGGUCAGAGUGGGACUGAGCCACGGCUCAGACUCCGACGGGAGGCAGCAGGGGGGAAUAUUGCACAAUGGGCGCAAGCCUGAUGCAGCGACGACGCGUGAGGGAAGGAGGCCUUCGGGUUGUGAACCUCUUUCGCAAGUGAAGCAGGCCUGCCUGGGUUGUGGGUGGGUUGACGGUAGCUGGAGAAGAAGCGGCGGCUGGCUACGU